UGCACUGCAUGGUAUCGGUAUCUGCACUCAGCAUUUUUUUCCUGCUGGGGUGUUCAAAAGACAGUGCUAUUGAAAUUCAGUAUCUGGUAUUGUUGGUUUUCUUGGCUUUGUGCAUGUUAAACCUGGUAUUUCUAUUGAUACAGUA
rnacentral:snoRNA from 1 species